CCUACGGGAGGCAGCAGUAAGGAAUAUUGGCCAAUGGAGGCAACUCUGAACCAGCCAUGCCGCGUGCAGGAAAACAGCCCUCUGGGUCGUAAACUGCUUUUAUUCGGGAAUAAACCUGCUUACGUGUAAGUAGCUGAAUGUACCGAAGGAAUAAGGAUCGGCUAACUCCGUGCCAGCAGCCGCGGUAAU
rnacentral:rRNA from 1 species